GAUGAAGAACGUAGCGAAAUGCGAUAAGUAAUGCGAAUUGCAGAAUUCCGUGAGUCAUCGAAUCUUUGAACGCACAUUGCGCCCGCCAGUAUUCUGGCGGGCAUGCCUGUUCGAGCGUCAUUUCAACCAUCAAGCCCCCGGCUUGUGUUGGGGACCUGCGGCUGCCGCAGGCCCUGAAAACCAGUGGCGGGCUCGCUAGUCACUCCGAGCGUAGUAAUACAUCUCGCUCAGGGCGUGCUGCGGGUUCCGGCCGUUAAAAGCCUUAUUUACCCAAGGUUGACCUCGGAUCAGGUAGGAAGACCCGCUGAACUUAAGCAUAUCAAUAAGCGGAGGA
rnacentral:misc_RNA from 1 species